rnacentral:tRNA from 1 species
GGGAAUGUAGCUCAGCGGCACAGCACCUGCCUGGCAAGCGUGAGGCCCUGAGUUCGAUUCCUGGUAUCCCA